rnacentral:tRNA from 1 species
GCCCCUGUCUAUUGGAUAGAACCUGGGAUUCUCAUUCUGGGGGCGAGGGUUCGAGUCCCUCCAGGGGCG